rnacentral:tRNA from 1 species
GAGGGUAUAGCUCAGUGGUAGAGCACGUGCUUAGCAUGUACCAGGCCUUGGGUUCAAUCCUCAGUACCUCCA